ACUCCUACGGGAGGCAGCAGUGGGGAAUCUUAGACAAUGGGGGGAAACCCUGAUCUAGCCAUGCCGCGUGAGCGAUGAAGGCCUUAGGGUUGUAAAAGCUCUUUCAGCUGGGAAGAUAAUGACGGUACCAGCAGAAGAAGCCCCGGCUAACUCCGUGCCAGCAGCCGCGGUAAUACGGAGGGGGCUAGCGUUGUUCGGAAUUACUGGGCGUAAAGCGCACGUAGGCGGAUCGGAAAGUUGGGGGUGAAAUCCCGGGGCUCAACCCCGGGAACUGCCUUCAAAAACUAUCGGUCUGGAGUUCGAGAGAGGUGAGUGGAAUUCCGAGUGUAGAGGUGAAAUUCGUAGAUAUUCGGAGGAACACCAGUGGCGAAGGCGGCUCACUGGCUCGAUACUGACGCUGAGGUGCGAAAGCGUGGGGAGCAAACAGG
rnacentral:rRNA from 1 species